CACGUAGGGGACGAGCGUUGUCCGGAAUCAUUGGGCGUAAAGCGCGCGUAGGCGGCCCGGAAAGUCGGAUGUGAAAUCCCGGGGCUCAACCCCGGGUCUGCAUCCGAUACUCCCGGACUGGAGGCAGGUAGGGGAGAUCGGAAUUCCUGGUGUAGCGGUGAAAUGCGCAGAUAUCAGGAGGAACACCGGUGGCGAAGGCGGAUCUCUGGGCCUUGCCUGACGCUGAGGCGCGAAAGCUAGGGGAGCGAACAGG
rnacentral:rRNA from 1 species